UUGUCAUCAAUUUCAGCAACAUUUAUGACUUGCUUGUAAUAUGAUGUACUGAAAGGCCUUACUUCUUUCCAAGCCAUGCCAUGAAGUACAAGAAUACUCAAGUGGUGGUUGUUUCCAACAUCCAAAAUGUAACCCAUGAUCACAAUCAUCCAUGCCUUUGUUCUAUUAUUUUAAAUAUUUAAACCUUUCAAGCCUUAAAGUCUGAGAAUAAUUCUUGCACUCCUAAAUCUGUAACUCUCUCUCUGUUAUACCCACCCCAAACCGAACCCUCACUUCACCCACACUCUGUAUUUUAUUUAGUUUAAAUCCACCAAGAUGAAACCCACAACAUCAAGUUUUAGUGGAGAUUUUAUGGUAGCAAGCUUUGUUUAUCUCAAGAUUAUUAACUUUUUCACUCACCUUCUCCUUAAUUGCUUGCUUUAGGUCACGACGCGGUUAUUUCAAGCUUUGUGAUUUGUUUAUCUUUGUUUGAUAUAUGGAGUAUUAUGCUUUGCCGAUCAGGCGUGAAGGAAGAAGGCUCAAGUGCUAAGAAAACGGAAGGUUCACAAGAUCGAGGUAAAUCCUCGACUUAGGCGAUUGGACGACUUGGAACGUGCACACAUGGUUUACGCCCGCUUCUCGCUUCCGUUGUUAAGCCCCUUUUUGGAAUGGUUUAAGACUUGGUCUUAUGUAUUUAAGUCUAGUUAGUAUGUUGUCAUCCUUGUCGUAGGGUAAAAAUUUGGUAGAUGGAAAUCAUGUCGUGACCAAUGUGAACUUGUUUGUUUGUUUUGGGUUUUUGUCAGAAAUGUUAAAUGUUUAAGUUUGGUUUGU
rnacentral:lncRNA from 1 species